UACGUAGGGCGCAAGCGUUGUCCGGAAUUAUUGGGCGUAAAGAGUGUGUAGGCGGUGCUCUAAGUCUGUUGUGAAAUCUCCCGGCUUAACUGGGAGGGUGCGGCGGAAACUGGAGUGCUCGAGGGUGGGAGAGGUAAGCGGAAUUCCUGGUGUAGCGGUGAAAUGCGUAGAUAUCAGGAGGAACACCUGUGGUGUAGACAGCUUACUGGACCACUUCUGACGCUGAGACACGAAAGCGUGGGUAGCAAACAGG
rnacentral:rRNA from 1 species